UGGGGAAUAUUGGACAAUGGGGGGAACCCUGAUCCAGCCAUGCCGCGGGUGUGAAGAAGGCCUUAUGGUUGUAAAGCACUUUAAGCGAGGAGGAGGGUACUGGUAUUAAUACUACCAGGUACUGGACGUUACUCGCAGAAUAAGCACCGGCUAACUCUGUGCCAGCAGCCGCGGUAAUACAGAGGGUGCGAGCGUUAAUCGGAUUUACUGGGCGUAAAGCGUGCGUAGGCGGCUAAUUGAGUCGGAUGUGAAAUCCCCGAGCUUAACUUGGGAGUUGCAUUCGAUACUGGUUAGCUAGAGUGUGGGAGAGGAUGGUAGAAUACCAGGUGUAGCGGUGAAAUGCGUAGAGAUCUGGAGGAAUACCAAUGGCGAAGGCAGCCAUCUGGCCUAACACUGACGCUGAGGUACGAAAGCAUGGGGAGCAAACAGG
rnacentral:rRNA from 1 species